AUUGUACGCUGGCGGCAUGCCUUACACAUGCAAGUCGAACGGUAACGGGCCUUCGGGUGCCGACGAGUGGCGCACGGGUGAGUAAUACAUCGGAACGUGCCCGAUCGUGGGGGAUAACGAGGCGAAAGCUUUGCUAAUACCGCAUACGAUCUACGGAUGAAAGCAGGGGACCGCAAGGCCUUGCGCGGACGGAGCGGCCGAUGGCAGAUUAGGUAGUUGGUGGGAUAAAAGCUUACCAAGCCGACGAUCUGUAGCUGGUCUGAGAGGAUGAUCAGCCACACUGGGACUGAGACACGGCCCAGACUCCUACGGGAGGCAGCAGUGGGGAAUUUUGGACAAUGGGCGCAAGCCUGAUCCAGCCAUGCCGCGUGCAGGAUGAAGGCCUUCGGGUUGUAAACUGCUUUUGUACGGAACGAAAAGCCUUCUUUUAAUACAGGAGGGUCAUGACGGUACCGUAAGAAUAAGCACCGGCUAACUACGUG
rnacentral:rRNA from 1 species